rnacentral:tRNA from 1 species
GGUUUUAUAGUAAUAAGUAAAAACGUUGGAUUGCAAAUCUGAAAAUGUGUUAGUAACACUAAAACUU